AGCUAGAGGAUAAGGGCUUUAAUCUACAGUGGGGAUGGAAAAAGACAAUUUUUGUCAGACAUGUCCUUGUGCCUUUUUUUAUUUUUCUGUCAGGCUUUUCACAUUUGGCAUACACAUGUUCUUGAUUUUACCACAGAGGCUUAGGAUCGCUUAUCACUCUAAUAUCCACAGCUGGUAUCAGAGGACAAAUUUCAGGCAGUUCUAUAGAAGUUCAGUGUGUGGGCAGGAGCUUCUGACUAAUUAAAGAGGAAUGCUAAUAAUCGUUGGCAUUUAGCUGUCCACUUAGCGUAGGCAGUAAAUGAAUGGAGCACAGAAGCAGACUUUUAAUUUUUUUACUUUGCUUUGUGACUGCAUAAUCCCUUUAAUCCUUCACUAUCAGAGGUUUUUAUUAAUUAAAUGGAAUCUCUGCAGGCUCAGUGAUUCACAUUUCAGGGCAAAUACGUGUAUUUAACAGGGAAAGUUGGCAUAGGUCUUAGUGUGUAGGUUUAAAGCAGUUCUUUCAAGGUUAUUUUGGAAAUGAGUGAAAUGAAUGUGUGUUUCUUGGCAGUCAGCCACAUAGAAUCUUCCCUUUGCUGAUUAAGAGCUGAAUUCCAGCUUAUCAGAGAAUUCCCAGUGCAAGCAUUAACUGAUUUCUCUGUGGUGAUUGACUGAUUUUGACUGGAGGGAAAGCUGUCCCUGGGAAUGAGAGUGACCAACAGGAGCAGGAAUUAACAAAAGUGAAGGAAGUAGAUAUCAGAUCUUUGUCUUCUGAUUUGGCAAGUUGAAUGUUUCUGCUACGCUGAAACUAAGUAAUGGGAGCAAAAUCCUCUUUCCUCCAAGAAGUCCUGAGGCAUAUUUAUAAGAAAGUUCUGAAGAGCGGUCUGUAUUUAGUUGGAUACUCUUAUUCCUUUGCUUUGUAUGUGUCUUUUACGAGUAAGGCUUGUAACAGACAGUACCAACUGGUUACUUCUGAGCAGAGUCUGCAGAAGAGUCUUGGAAAAUAAGAAAAAUCUACCUGUGCUUGUCACAGUGGGAUUAGAACCUGUAUCACACGGAAAAGAUAUAUAUCUGGUGUCUUUAGGAAUGACUGGAAGAAGGUGCAGAAAGUUAUAUAAGGUCGGCUAAUUAGUACUGCCACGGCACAGUAAAUCUGUUUCCUGUUCUGUAAUUCCCUGAGGCAUAUUUAAGCGUUCUUGAAAAGUACAUAAUGCUACAUGUUACAGCUUCACUAUUCCAUGUGAGAAGUAUUGCGAUCAUAGCCUGCCCUACUGAUGAGGGCACAGUGAGAUGAAAGGACAAAAGAAUAUGUUACUGCCAUAUCCACUGGAUUGCCUGUUCAGGUUCCUAUACCCUUUAACUCUCAUGUGAAAGAAUAGCAGCUUCCUUUUCUCUUACUAGAACUUCUAAGUUUGAGGGAACCCUUAAGCAUUUCCUGUGCUUACACCUCUACUUCUCUAAGGUAAUACGCUUAGUGAGGUGUACCACAGCAAGUCAAAAUGCUGUAUUAUUAAGGAUGCCUCCAAAGCUGAUAAUCUAAAUGGGGAGUGUGGGGCUUUUGGAUCUCUUUACCAUUCUGAUGAGAUUGUUGCUUGAUAAGACAAGUGUGGUGCUGAGCUGCAAUGUUGCAGCUCCUCUGAAGUCAAGAAUUUUUUUUCCCACCCUCCUUUCAUAUACCUGUUCACUGUAUUUUCCAUUCUAGUAUAAGAAAAAUAUAUUAUGCUUUAGAUACUUCAGUAAAUUUUGCUUUAGGCAUGUAUGUACAUUUACUUUCUAUUUCAAAGUUUCUCUAAAAUUUGUAUGAAGGUGCACUGAGUAAAGUAGUGUGAUACCUUGUUUUUGUCUUUUUGCCUGCUUACAGGCUUGUAUAGUGUUCUCUUCAGGUUAAAUGGUUUAUACUUGUUCUAAAUGCAAAGUAUCAAAAUAUCAAUGUUGUGAAUACUAGAAGGAUUUAUUUAAAUGUAAAUGUUUCUCAGGUCUGUAGUGUUGUAACUAAAGGCAAAUUGUCUCUUUCACCUCUCCACUCACAUUCCUCUUUUUUCCAGAAUUGCGUUUGUUCUAAACCUGCUGAAAUUCUUGCAUGCAGGAGAAAGUUCCAGGGGUAGAAGGAUCCUCAGCCAUGUGUUCCUGAUGCACAGCUAAGACAAAACCUGUGGAACAGAGAACCUUCUCUUACAGUCUCUGAAGAAAGCACUGUAUCAGGGAAGGCUUUUUCAUUGCUGAGAGAGGGACUGAGGAAAGCGGCAGCUGCAGGUGUCAUCUUCCUGAAUUGACUGUUCAAGUGUGAUAUGCACUGAAGAAAA